rnacentral:misc_RNA from 1 species
GAUGAAGAACGUAGCGAAAUGCGAUACGUAAUGUGAAUUGCAGAAUUCAGUGAAUCAUCGAGUCUUUGAACGCACAUUGCGCCCCCUGGUAUUCCGGGGGGCAUGCCUGUCAGCGUCAUUGCUGCCCUCAAGCACGGCUUGUGUGUUGGGCCUCCGUCCUCCUCCCGGGGGACGGGCCCGAAAGGCAGCGGCGGCACCGCGUCCGGUCCUCGAGCGUAUGGGGCUUCGUCACCCGCUCUUGUAGGCCCGGCCGGCGCUUGCCGACACAUCAAUCUUUUUUCCAGGUUGACCUCGGAUCAGGUAGGGAUACCCGCUGAACUUAAGCAUAUCAAUAAGCGGAGGA